GUGACUUCACGCAGCAGUCUGGCUAGUUGUGAUGACGUUAGGUACCAAAACUUCCAAGAUGGCCGCUUGUGCGUCACCAAUGGAGCCAUGGUGCGGAGCGACCGUGGAAACGUCACUAUAUAUUGUGCAAGCAUGUGACAAGAAGCUCAUACUGUGUUGUGACGUCAGGGUACAGUACGAACUGAAACUAGCUUUUAAAAACAUACUGUAAUUACUUUUUCAGGGCGCACUCGCGCUUAGCACCACCUCUUCUAGGCUCUUGAGGGCUUGACCCUUCAUUUGACGCCAAAAAAACGACAACUGAAAAUAUUCGUGUCAGUACCCCUUUAAGUGCAUGAUAUGAUAGGUGGUAAACAGUGGUUCAGAGUGCAUUCUGUAAGGCACGUCAGCAAUCGCUCUAAGCGCAUUUUUCUGCAUUGAAAUUAGUUUACUAAUAUUUGUUUUUGUUGAACUUCCCCAUACCAAUAUGCAGUAUUUUAACAGUGAUUCAAACAGCCUUUUUCUGGCAAUAGAUGCUGGAAUUUUUUCAAAACGCCAACUACACGUGCAAGCUUACUUUGAAGAUGUUCUGUGUGACUAUCCCAUAGCAUGAAUUCACUAAAGUAGACUCCAAGCAUUCUGUGUUAGUAAUUUCUAUGGCAUUCCCUCCUAAGACCAUGUCCCGCAUUCAUCAAGGCAGGCAAUAAAAAAGCACAAAGGUUGGAGGUUUAGGCUGCUGGAAAAAUUGCUUUCACUGGUGGAUCUGAUGAUGGUCCUCAUUUCUGUGGCUGGCACAUGAAGA